rnacentral:rRNA from 1 species
CCUACGUGGGGCAGCAGUGGGGAAUAUUGCACAAUGGGGGAAACCCUGAUGCAGCGACGCCGCGUGAGUGAAGAAGUAUCUCGGUACGUAAAGCUCUUUUAGCAGGGAAGAAAAUGACGGUACCUGUCUAAGAAGCCCCGGCUAACUACGUGCCAGCAGCCGCGGUAAUACGUAGGGGGCAAGCGUUACCCGGAUUUACUGGGUGUAAAGGGAGCGUAGACGGCAGAACAAGUCUGGAGUGAAAUCACGGGGCUUAACCCCGGAACUGCAUUUGAAACUGUGCGGCUGGAGUGCAGGAGGGGUAAGCGGAAUUCCUAGUGUAGCGGUGAAAUGCGUAGAGAUUAGGAGGAACACCGGUUGCGAAGGCGACUUACUAGACUGUAACUGACGUUGAGGCUCGAAAGCGUGGGGAGCAAACAGGAUUAGAUACCCGAGUAGUC